rnacentral:rRNA from 1 species
UAGGGAAUCUUCCACAAUGGACGCAAGUCUGAUGGAGCAACGCCGCGUGAGUGAAGAAGGUUUUCGGACCGUAAAGCUCUGUUGUUGGUGAAGAAGGAUAGAGGUAGUAACUGGCCUUUAUUUGACGGUAAUCAACCAGAAAGUCACGGCUAACUACGUGCCAGCAGCCGCGGUAAUACGUAGGUGGCAAGCGUUGUCCGGAUUUAUUGGGCGUAAAGCGAGCGCAG